UGGAAAAUCUUCCAGCUUUGGUCUGCCCGGUGACGAUCGAAGGAAGGCCACCGAUUGGUUAAUCCGAGGAAGACGACCAAUCAGUGGAGGCGGAAGUCAUCUUGUCGUAGGUGGGAUUGGUGGAGAUAGAGUCCGGCCUACAUGACGCUCUCGAAAAUGAUGACCUUGUUCUCGUCUGUGCCGGGGGACAUGGAGGUCAGGGACCUGAUGUCGGGGGCCAUGUACUCCAGGUGGUGGGGCCCCCACACCGGGGUGGUGAGGUGCCCUUAGCACUGAAGAGUUUGUACAGGAUGCUGACGGGGAUGCAGAGCAUGGAGGAGAGAGCCAGACACCAUCCGAUCACCUCCCCCCACCACGGGUAGACGUACGUGUUGUUGUAGGUCAGCGGCUUGUAGUUCACCAGGUGGAAAAUGAAGAUUCCCUGCAGAGGAGAGGACAGAACAUCAAGCAUAAAACCAGCUGUCAUGGUGUCAGUGGCAGCAAGGUAAACAAGGUAGACCAGACGUCUCUCACCCCAGCAACAUUUCCCAGCUCUUCCCGGGGAUCCCGAGGCAUUCCCAGGCCAGAUGAGAUUUAUAAUCUCUCCGGCGUGUUCUGGGUCGACCCCGGGGUCUCCUAACGUUCUCGGGAAACCUCUAAAGGAAGGCACAGCGGAGGGUCCUGAUCAGAAGCCUCAACCGGCUCCUUUCAACAUUAAGGAGCAGCAGCUCUACUCCGAGUAUGAAUAAACAAAAUCACUCAGUUAUUUGUUUUUGUUUUCCUCUACAGGACCCGCGUUGUUCGGUCUUACCAUGCAGACGCACGGCGUGAUGAAGGACCAGCACCACUUCAUCCAGGGGAACGGCCGGUAGCCGAUCAUACGGGCGACAUCGUCCAUGAAGCGGUCGGCACCUGCAGGGAGGAGAGCGAGCGUCGGUCAGUGGGUCUGCAAAAACUGCAGGAGUAUUAGAGAUAGGAGAAGUCCUUUUUUCACUCUUAAAUCUUUUCUGCUCAAAAACAUUGGCAAACAAUAACUUUAGUGCUUCUUAAAUUACUAUCAUCUUUUGGGGGUGUUAUAUUUUGCUUUUUUUCGACUAAACAUAUUUUGACUUUGUGAUAAAUGGUGUGAUAUUACCCUAGGAACAAUCAUGUCUCAACAAGACCUUCACAAACUCAUUCAUGCGUUGGUUUUCAGCAGGCUCGAUCCCUCAGAAAAAUGCAACUCAUCCAGAACGCUCACUUAUAAAACACUGAAGGAUUACGAGCCAAUCAGAGCUCUCAGAUCUUCGGGGGGCGGGGCAUUGUUUCCUCGGGUCAGAACCACGGCGAAGCUGCUUUUAGUUUUUUACGCACCUUCAGAACACCUGAGGUAUUUUAAGUCGAGGUAAACGUGUAUCUGUACUGCUGCUUACCCAGAAGUCAUUUCACUUUGUUUCAUCCUUCACUUCUUGCAGCAUCGUCUGUAUUUACAUUUCUCUUCUAUGAAUCUGUUAUUCCACCGUGUUUCUUUCCUAUCUAAGUAUUGUGUGUUCAUGUUGAAGUA